rnacentral:rRNA from 1 species
GAUCCUGGCUCAGGACGAACGCUGGCGGCGUGCCUAACACAUGCAAGUCGAACGGGGUAGAGAGCUUCGGUUUUCUGCUUAGAGGCGAACGGGUGAGUAACGCGUGAGGAACCUGCCUUUCAGUGGGGGACAACAGUUGGAAACGACUGCUAAUACCGCAUAAGGUCAUUUGUCGGCAUCGAUAAGUGACCAAAGCUUUAUGUGCUGAAAGAUGGCCUCGCGUCUGAUUAGAUAGUUGGUGGGG